rnacentral:rRNA from 1 species
UACGGAGGGGGCGAGCGUUGCUCGGAAUUACUGGGCGUAAAGGGUCCGCAGGUGGCCUCGUAAGUUAGAUGUGAAAUCUUAGGGCUUAACCCUGAAACUGCAUCUAAUACUGCAAGGCUUGAGUCCAGGAGAGGUUGGCGGAAUUCCAGGUGUAGCGGUGAAAUGCGUAGAUAUCUGGAGGAACACCAGUGGCGAAUGCGGCCAACUGGCCUGGUACUGACACUCAGGGACGAAAGCGUGGGUAGCGAACCGG